UAGCUCAGUGGUAGAGCCCUCGCUUCGCAUGCGGGGAGACCUGGGUUCGAUUCCCGG
rfam:Toxocara canis scaffold175, whole genome shotgun sequence.